AUGCACUGACAGACAGACACAUACACUUACUUAAAUUCACUGACACACACAUUCACUGAAACACACUCACACACAUUCACUGAAACACACACACUCACUCACAUUCACUGACACACAUUCACUCACAUUCACUGACACACACACUCACUCACAUUCACUGACACACACAUUCACUGACACACACUCACUCACAUUCACUAACACACACUCAGUCACUCACAUUCACUGACACACAAUUAUUUUUAUUAUUAUUUAUUUUAAAAAAUUAAAUCCACCCAGCCUCCCUACGUUUGGGAUAGCUGGGUGGAUUUCUCAUCUGGGGUCCAGUGGGGCUUCUUGGCA